rnacentral:rRNA from 1 species
GUUGACCUCGGAUCGGGUAGGGAUACCCGCUGAACUUAAGCAU